GAUCAUGGCUCAGGACAACGCUGGCGGCAUGCCUAACACAUGCAAGUCGAACGAGACCUUCGGGUCUAGUGGCGCACGGGUGCGUAACGCGUGGGAAUCUGCCCUUCGGUUCGGAAUAACUCAGGGAAACUUGAGCUAAUACCGGAUAAUGACGUAAGUCCAAAGAUUUAUCGCCGAAGGAUGAGCCCGCGUAGGAUUAGCUUGUUGGUGGGGUAAAUGGCCCACCAAGGCGACGAUCCUUAGCCGGUCUGAGAGGAUGAUCAGCCACACUGGGACUGAGACACGGCCCAGACUCCUACGGGAGGCAGCAGUGGGGAAUAUUGGACAAUGGGCGAAAGCCUGAUCCAGCAAUGCCGCGUGAGUGAUGAAGGCCUUAGGGUUGUAAAGCUCUUUACCCGGGAUGAUAAUGACAGUACCGGGAGAAUAAGCUCCGGCUAACUCCGUG
rnacentral:rRNA from 1 species